rfam:Ictidomys tridecemlineatus contig017142, whole genome shotgun sequence.
GGGGUUGUGGCUCCAUGGUGGAGCACUUGCCUGGCACACAGGAGGCCCUGGGUUCAAUUCUCAGUACCA